rnacentral:rRNA from 1 species
AUUGAACGCUGGCGGCAGGCCUAACACAUGCAAGUCGAGCGGUAACAGGGGUAGCUUGCUACCCGCUGACGAGCGGCGGACGGGUGAGUAAUGCAUAGGAAUCUGCCCGAUAGUGGGGGAUAACCUGGGGAAACCCAGGCUAAUACCGCAUACGUCCUACGGGAGAAAGGGGGCUCCGGCUCCCGCUAUUGGAUGAGCCUAUGUCGGAUUA